UCACUUUGGCAGCAAGUACAAUGAUAUUGGAACAAUAUGGAACAGAAUGGCAUGGCUCCUGUGGAAGGAUGGUAUGCAAAUUUGUGAAGAGUUCCAUGUUAAA